CCACCUUAGACUUCUCUUUAUGAAUUUCUACUUUACCCUUUUGUCUUUCAAAAAAUUUGCUUUAUUUGUAUUCCCUGACAACAAGGCCCUGAUCACUUGAUAACUGUGUGAUUCUCCUGGCCCCUUCCCUUUUGUUCUUAUAAGUAUGGGGAGAAAUUCUCCUGGUUUGAGGAUGAGAAAUGGAUACAGUGGGGCUCAUCAAAGUUUUCUAAGUUAGACAUGUACUGAUCCCAACAAAUUAUGUGAUCCCAAACAAUUUCAACACAAAGUACAUUCCGAUGCCACCAUUUCUUUGCCUGUGUCCCUCGGGUCCCUGGACAGAACUUGGAAAUGGGAAGUGAAGAACAUUUCAUUCUAUGACCCUUAGCAGCAUUGUUUUUUAAUUGAAUCAGAAUUGCUUCUCCCUUGCUUUUCCUUCCUCAAGGGAGUUCAGAGCUCCUUGGCUUCACCUGACUUUAUGCAGUGGUUUCAUCCCAUGAUAAUAUGUUGGGUUUCUGUCUUAAUAGAACCUUUGGUCUUACAGAAGUCCCGGAUAGGUCUGCUGUAUAUCUUUAUCCCAAGACUUUAUACAUUCCAGAGUUCCUGAAAGCUCUUGCAGUUACUGGCUUUUCCAGGAUUCAAGUCACUCUUGCAGUCAAUAGGAGAUACUCACAUGGAAUUACUACAGCACACAGAGAAUUUUGAGUAUUCUUUGGCCCAGAGAAUACUGAUCGGCCCCAUAUUUUGCCUUUGUGCUAGGAUGGAGCUCCAUAUCAGAGAGAUCAAUACAAUCUGAAAGUCACUGCCUCUUCCAUAAGUCCUGCUUUAAAACCUUCGGUAGCUUUUCUUAAUUUUCCUUUCAAGGCUAUCAUUGUGUGGGCGUAACUUACUUACUUUUUUUUUUUUUUUUUUGGUAACAUAACGUGACCCAGAACCAUCUUUAGGAGUGUGGCAAAUUCUGUCCUGUCUUUCUAGGACGGGGUAAAAUAACCUGCCUCAGGAUGGAACACCCAACCGAGGGAGGAAGAGAAAACUAGGGGUGCUUGCUUAGGUUGCCAGUUGCUGCAGCAAGACCUGAGGCUCCAGUGCCUCCUUCUGUGCCCGUGCCCAUCUGCAAAGCAAAGGCCCAGAACUGCUGUGUCAUUCUUCCACAGACCGCUCCCUGCACCAGGCUUCCCCCUUGCAUGCAAGAACUCUUGUUUUCCUUCCCAGGAUGCUCCUGUUGCUAGUUCUCACCAGAUUUAUCUCUAUAUGGCUGAGAUCAGCUAUGCACCUCUUAAGCAUGAAUAAUUCUGAUUCCCUUUAAAACUGGAUGGGUCAGUUUUCCAGGAAUUUACUCCAAACUAAUUAAUAAUAAUUGCCACCACUUACUGAGGCCAUGGUGUAAACAGAUAACUUUGCAUCCACUGUCUUUUUCGUCCUCACCAACAGCUCUUAUGUGAUAAAUAUUGUUACUCCUUACUCAUUUUUCAGUAGAGGAAACCAAGAUUCAGGAGAAUUAAGUAACUUGCCUAAGGUCACACAGAUAAGGAGUAGCCAGCUAAGGAGACUUGGCUUUUCUCUUGAGACCUUGCUAUCUCCAAACUUUGAAGCAAUGCUAUAGAGUUCUACUUCAGAAGGAAGCAGGAAGCCAUAUCAUUUUCUUAUCUUUACCUCUGCUUAGCUCCACCUUACCAUUCCCUCCCCCUUAGGCAUAGUCGGGUUGUUUCUGUGAGGCGGAGUUUGAGCCAAAGCAUAGCACACCCUAACUUUCUCUUGGGAGGAGCUCGUCUUUCUGUUUGAGUUUCAGAUGUUGUCUCUGUUGGUAGUUUCUUCAUUUAUUCAACAUAUAUUUAUUAUAAUGACAACAUGCGAAAUACUGAGUAUGAAGUUGUUAAAAAGAUGUAUAUGGACCUAUCUUUACGGAGUUUUAUAGUUUAGUUGGGAAGAAUGCAGGCUAUAUCUAAAUAAGAACAAAAUAAUUAACCAAGCAAGAGGUCAGUUUACUUCUGUUCCUUCUUAUUGUCAAGAUAUUGGAAAGCAGAAUUAAUUUGAGUAUCCAAUACGUUAUCUGUUGAGAAGAGUCACUUUUGUGAAUGUGACUGUCUCAGAGGCAGGAAUUAGUAAUUUAAACCAGCGUAUGUUUGAAGUUGAUUAAAGGAAAAUAUUCAGAUUCCUGAAUAACGAUUUAAAUGUGCUGGAACAUUACCUAUUACCCACAUAUUACAUGGCAAUAUUUUAAAAAUCUGGCCAGUGUUAAAAUGAUAACGUUUCAGUUAAAAGCAGCUUUCAAAGAUAGAAAUAAAAAAAAAAAAACAGAAAAAGAUGAAAAACAGAUGAGGAAACUGAGCCCUAUAGGAGUUGAGUGAAGGCUCAGGGUUAUAAUGUGGGUUUUAAUCAGAGUGCAAGGGGCUCCAAGUGAGAGUGCGCAGUUUGCUCUGAGCCCACUGUGUGUGAUUUGCAAGCUUUCUUUGUCUCAGUAUAAAUACCAUUUGGCACUUUCAACAUGUUUCUAAUUGUGAGUUUAGCAGUUUACUCUGGUGGGGUUUUUUUUUUUCUGGAUCUUUUUUGUAGAAGUGUAGAAGCUGUUGAAUUUGAUGGCAUUUUCCCCGUAUUGUUUAUUUGUUUGUUUUGUUUUCACUGUAGGAACAACAGUGAAAUUGGAUCAGAAAUUUAUUAGAGAACAGGUCUUCACAUGUAGAAUUCCCGACAUUUGUAAUUAUACUGCCUGGGAUGUUCCUCCUCAUAAAAUAUCCUUAGUACUCAAAACCAGAAAAUGUAGAAAAAAUCAGUAUUUUAAGCAAAUAGAAAAAUCCAAAACCUUAAUUUUGAAACAUAGGUGGAAUUUAAAAAUAUUGGCCAGAAGCCUAAGGGAGUUUCAGGUUAGCUUUUCUAGCAAACUUGUUUGCUCACAUUCAUGGGAAGUGACUUCGAAUGUGAGUAGUGGUUGUUCACGUGGUGUUUUAGAGGCCGAUUAAAACACUUCUUUCAUCAGGGAACUUAGAUCAACCCUGAGAAUAAACAGGGGACCCAGGUUCUAGAGAAAAUAAAGGUGGGUCUCUAAAAGGAGGAGGCAGUGGGCUUGAGAAAUAUUAGAGAAACUUGGCUCUGUAUGGUUUGUUUGUGAGGCAAUCCGAUUGAGUCUUUGAGGGAGGCACACUUAACAGGCUUUUAAUCUCAGGGGAGUGAAUCGUAGAAUGUAAAUAUUAGAAGCAGUGUUAGGCUGUGUAUCCUUCUCACCCACCAGAUUAAAUAACUUGUCCAAAGUGACACAGUAGAAGUGGUAGUAAGUCCUGAGUCUUCUUACUCCAACUUCAAGGCUCUUUUAAUGAGGAAUGGUUCCUCAGUCUUUUAUUUUUUAUUUUGAUGAUAGCUUUUUUUUUUUCUUUGAAAUGGGGUCUCACUUAUGUUGCACUGGCUGGCCUUGAACCCCUGGCUCCUGGCUCAACCCUACUGCCUCAGCCUCCUGAGUCGCUGGGACUCCAGACAUGCCUCAGUAUGCCCAGUUUGACUUGGCAUUUUUGAAGACUUGCCACUUACUUUGUUGAUGUUGCCUCAUGCUCUGGAAUCAGCCAUUUCCACAGAGAGCUGUGGUUACUUUUAGUGGACAGUGGUAUUUAGAAACCAAGAUCUGAGUGCUGGGUGUGCUUAUUGCUACUAAGGUGUCAUUGCUUCUAGGCUCUCUCAGCAGGGAGACCUAGGAAAUACGUAGCAGCUGGACAGGCUCCACCCCUGCUUUGCUCUGCGUGGACCUGCUGCACGUGCUGCCGAUACCAGCCAAAGCCCCCACUUCCUCCCAGCUCAGUUGCACUAUUUGUGGGUUUUUUAAAAAAAGGUAUUCAUGUUUUUUUCAUUGAAAGAUGCUCAGAAUAGUGACCGCCUUAACUAACAUCAAGUUAGGAACUGGAGCAGAAUCCAAAUAAAUCUUAAUGGUGAGAGGCUGGAUUCUGAUAGACUUGGGAUGAAGACUAAACAAGUUUUUAAAAUUUUUAUUUUUAAAUACCACAGUGCUUUUAGGGCAAAUGGUUUACAACCAGAUAUGGAGCCUGAGCUGAAUGAAUGAGUGCACAUGCAUACCCUAUGUUCUUCCCAGCACACAUUCUUUUGAAGCAUGAAAGUCCUCUUUGGGUGCUAGGGUUUUGGGUUCAUGACUAUGUUGAUGAGCCUGUCACCUUGGUUCUCUACUUCAUGUUUCCAGACCGCAUUUAAUUGUUCCUUGGGCAUGGGAGAAAUCACAGAAGGGGCUGACAAAUACAAACUGGAGUUAACUUUGGAACCAUGACUCUUGGAUUUUACAGAACCACAAGUCCUGGUAGCAGCUGAAUCCCUUUAAUGUGGCUCCAUUCUCCUUUGAAUGUUCACUUGUUAAUGUAUUGAGGCCUCUGUGCUCUUAGGCUAUUGUGCAAAUCAGAUCAAUUUCAAUUUGCUAUUCAAGAGAGGAGGGGUUUUGAUUUUUAACAUAAUGCACGUGACAUUCCUUGUCUGCUUCAUCUCUGUUUGUUAUGACAGCCCCUCCCCCACAUCCUGUUCUUCAGGUGGAGAAUGAACAGCUAUGGCAAAACUGUGGCCAAUAACGGUGCAUGUGGAUGUUUAGACCAGUUUUAAUUGGAGACUUUCAGAGGGGAGGUUGGAAGGCUUUCAUGUAAAUUUAUUUGCCUGUGUAUUAAUCCACUUCUUCAAGGAGGAGGUUGGAAGUGGUCUUAGAGUUUUGUCCUUACCUUCAUGAGACUGCAUUUCCAAUCUCCCUUCUUUGCUCCACUCUUUGUGAAUCUCUGCACCAUCAAGUAAUGCUGUAAGGGUAGAGCCAUCGUUUUUGUUCUAAUCACUGUACAGGGCUUUUCAAAGUACAGGGAGAGCUGUCUCACCCUCUCUCACUUAACUCUCACAAACAGGCUUCUGUAUCUGCUGUUUCCUCUGCAUGGAAAACUCUUUUCCUUUGGCCUCAUCCUUGUUUCCAUAGUUGCCUUUUAGACCUCAGCUAAAAGUUAGUUUUUCAGGAAUUUCUGAUAUCAAAAUCAAGAAAAAGGUGCGUGCAGGAUGGGUGAGAUGGUGGCAAGGCUUGAUAGAUCUCUUUCUGCACUGAGUGUGAAUGAAUUUGGGACCUUUUCAGUGAUGCUGUCUUAGGAGCCUGCUGGAAAACCCACUGUUGACAGCCAUCCAGUGAGAAUUAUAUUGUUUGCAUUUUAUUAAAGUGGAGCCAAGUGGACCUUGAACUUACAUAAACAAAUGGAGUCCAUGGAAAUGCAUAUAAAGAUUAGGGCACAAGUUCAUGUAUUCGGCACAAUCUGGAAUAGUCCAGCAAACAGGUUAUUACUGGUUACUUACCAUGUGGUCAGGAUGGAGCUAGAUGCUGGUGGAGUGUGGAUGGUGCAGAUGCUCAAGGAAUUUAGCCUUGUUGAGGGCGCCUGUUUAAUCCGUAGGAAAUCACAGCCUAACCUUGCAAGACAGGAUUUACUUAAGUGGAGAAGAGUGUGGUAC
rnacentral:lncRNA from 1 species